rnacentral:rRNA from 1 species
GAUGAACGCUAGCUACAGGCUUAACACAUGCAAGUCGAGGGGCAGCAUGAAGUCAGCUUGCUGACUUUGAUGGCGACCGGCGCACGGGUGAGUAACGCGUAUCCAACCUUCCCCUGUCUCGGGCAUAACCCGGUGAAAACCGGACUAAUUCCCGAUGUUGUUCCGUGCUGGCAUCAAAUCGGAACCAAAGAUUUAUCGGACAUGGAUGGGGAUGCGUCUGAUUAGCUUGUUGGCGGGGUAACGGCCCACCAAGGCAACGAUCAGUAGGGGUUCUGAGAGGAAGGUCCCCCUCAUUGGAACUGAGACACGGUCCAAACUCCUACGGGAGGCAGCAGUGAGGAAUAUUGGUCAAUGGGCGAGAGCUUGAACCAGCCAAGUAGCGUGCAGGAUGACGGCCCUAUGGGUUGUAAACUGCUUUUAUACGGGGGUAAAGUUUGGGACGUGUCCCAAUUUGCAGGUACCGUAUGAAUAAGGACCGGCUAAUUCCGUGCCAGCCGCCGCGGUAA